rnacentral:rRNA from 1 species
UACGGAGGGGGCUAGCGUUGUUCGGAAUUACUGGGCGUAAAGCGUACGUAGGCGGCUUUGUAAGUUAGAGGUGAAAGCCCAGAGCUCAACUCUGGAAUUGCCUUUAAGACUGCAUCGCUUGAAUCGUGGAGAGGUUAGUGGAAUUCCGAGUGUAGAGGUGAAAUUCGUAGAUAUUCGGAAGAACACCAGUGGCGAAGGCGGCUCACUGGCCUGGUAUUGACGCUGAGGUGCGAAAGCGUGGGGAGCAAACAGG